rnacentral:tRNA from 1 species
GAGGGUAUAGCUCAGUGGUAGAGCAUAUGCUUGGCAUGCACGAGGUCCUGGGUUCAAUCCCUGGUACCUCCA